GACGAACGCUGGCGGCGUGCUUAACACAUGCAAGUCGAACGGAAAGGCCUGCUUUCCCUUGUGGAUUGCGGGUACUCGAGUGGCGAACGGGUGAGUAACACGUGAGUGAUCUGCCCCCAACUUGGGUAUAAGCCUGGGAAACUGGGUCUAAUUCCCGAUAGGACUGCAGGGUGGUGCCUGUGGUGGAAAACGAUUUUCUAGUGGUUGGGGAUGAGCUCGCGGCCUAUCAGCUUGUUGGUGGGGUAAUGGCCUACCAAGGCGGCGACGGGUAGCCGGCCUGGGAGGGUGGACGGCCACAUUGGGACUGAGAUACGGCCCAGACUCCUACGGGAGGCAGCAGUGGGGAAUAUUGCACAAUGGGCGGAAGCCUGAUGCAGCGACGCCGCGUGGGGAUGACGGCCUUCGGGUUGUAAACUCCUUUCGACCGCGAGGAAGCCACCUGGUUGGAAGGGUGGUGACGGUAGUGGUAGAAGAAGCACCGGCUAACUACGUG
rnacentral:rRNA from 1 species